rnacentral:rRNA from 1 species
UACGUAGGGAGCAAGCGUUAUCCGGAUUUAUUGGGCGUAAAGCGCGCGUAGGCGGUCUGUUAAGCGAGGUGUGAAAGCCGGGGGCUCAACCCGCGGAUUGCAUUUCGAACUGGCAGACUUGAGUGUGGUAGAGGAAAGUGGAAUUCCCGGUGUAGCGGUGAAAUGCGCAGAUAUCGGGAGGAACACCAGUGGCGAAGGCGGCUUUCUGGGCCACCACUGACGCUGAGGCGCGAAAGCUAGGGGAGCGAACAGG